UCGGCGUCCGCUCCACCUGCCCCGCCCUGCUUUAUCUGCCACUAAGUGGUAACUUGCCAAGAUGCCCAUUGGAGGCAAACUCGUAUCCACGGGUGGGUCUCGGGCCAGGCGAGCGCGUGCCCGGGCGCCUCCGGCCUCCCAGCGCUUUCCCAGACCUCUGGGGAUCGUGGCGCGGGGAGUCAAGGUGACUGCUUUUCCAUGGGUUUUUGAAGCAGGUUGUGUUGAGAGGGCUGGGGCAGGGGAAAGGCUUGGCUCUACGAUGGCCCCUCGUACCCCAGCGCCCCGCCUCCACAGUUUUCCCCCGGAAACGGGUCUGGGGACGAUUUCUGGGGCUGUGGGAUGAUGGUGGUCGGCGAGCGCGAGCCGCUGUCCUAAGGGCUCGGCUCUAGCCCGUGGACCUCCGACUCCAUCUCUGUCACGGAAUCAAGAGAAUUUGGUGGAUUUCUCGGUUAGAAGCUACCCGAGUCAUUAAUAUUCGUCCCUAGUCUCCUUUAAAGAGACAAAGCGCUUCCCGAAGAGUGAUGAAAGUUCAGGGACCGCCGGCGGCUUGAUCGGUGCCCUUGACCUGGAGCUGAAGGGGGGAGAGGAAUGUAGGGAGCCGUUUCCUGAUCUGCGUGGACCUAGAGGGCCUGGCCGGGUGGUCACCAUCUGGACUCUGGUCCAAGGGCAGUGAGCAGCGUCCAGCGCGCGGGUCAGGAAAACAAACCCUCGUGGACCGUGCAUUUGUUGCUCGGGACAGAAGCCGGGCAGGGGAACCUGCGUGAACUGCGGCGGAGGGGUGGGCUUCACCGGCAAAUCUUAGGAAAAAGGUGAUUGCGCUGGUGUCCAGAGCCUCGGCAAAGCGAGGAAGAGACUGGAGGGGUCAGACGCUUCAACAUGAAGCGCGCGACUUGGACCAGAGGACUGGUCAGGUUUCUGGGGGGCGGGAGCGCAGCAGACCCUAGUUCGGAUGUGCAGGGGCAGGGUGGUUUCAGGACGGUAUACCACGGUGACAGCUGGGUUCAUAGCUACACUUCGUUGACUUUUCGCUUGGGCUGAGAGUGCAGAUUAUCUCCCUGACCCUCCUGACCCUUCCAGGAUUCGGCUAGAGGGCAAAAUACCGACAGGUAGUUCAUCCCUUACCUUGAGCUAUGCCUGGUUAUCAAGUUCAACCUUCUGGUCUACCUUCUCUAGCUCUUACCCAUCCGGCGCCCUCUCUCAGCCACUGGGGGAAAUCAUGCUUUAAAAAUUGUUUUUUCUUUUUUUUUUUUAAGGGGAAGAUGGGUUUUCUUGAAAAUCUCUAACCAGUAGCACUGGAAUUGAUCAGUAACUGAAAUCAAUAGUCUUUAGUCAAAUGGAUAUUUGGCGAUUAUGACAGACACAGGCUCUGAGUGCCAGCCCUGGAAGGGAAGAGUUUGUCCCCUCUUGCCCUUCUUCAGGAGGGAAUUUCCCAAGAGCCCAGGUGUCUCUAAGGAAGAGAACAAGCCAGCUUCUCCGCUCUGCAUUUACCCUCCUCCCGGGUGAGCCUAGGGAUUGCUCUUUUGAAGGAGACAGUAGAAACUACAGAACUUUGUUGGCCAAAUUCCACUCUCACUUCCACAGGCAUUGCUAUCCCCUUUUCUUCCUUUUUAUUUGGUCUUUAGACGGGUACUUUCACAUGGUCUCACCUGAGCAUUUAUGGAGGCCUAAAAGGUAAGAAGGGCAAGGAGUCUGAUGCCAGCUUCCUGACAGGUGACUCUCCAGAGACACAGGGAGGUUAAAAGCUCAAGCUCACAUUGCAAGUUCUGAGGGAUGGCAUGAUAUCAUGUCUGAAUCUAACAUACAUUUUUAUAAUACUUCACUUUUCAAAGCCCUAACAUAUAACCCAGAUAACAGAAUCCUUCCCCAAACCUUGUGAAGCAAGUGAUGCUGAUAAGUAUUAACUCCAUUUCACAGAUAUGAAAGUUGCAUUUCAGUGAAGGGAAAUGACCUGCUAUCAGUUCAGUGAUAUGAUCUUUAAAUAUAGUCCUUAGAAAAAGUAUCUAGGAAUUUUGGAGGGAAAUGCUUUGCGGUUUGGAUCUGGGUGAUUCAGCAGCAACAAGUACUAAUCAGGCUGAAAGGACAAGGAAAUAAGGCAUUGGCAGGAGUGAGAGGAAUUUUCUUUUCUUUCCACAGGACAAGGUGGAAACCUGUGUUCAGAGGCUUCGAUAUUCUGAUAGUUCUACAGUAGAGACACAAUGAUAAUAGCACUCAACAUAGUGGGAAUUUCCACUGCUUGCCUAACUCCUCUUAGUUUUAUAUUCAAAGUGGAUCCCCUGCAAAGCUUUCUAUUCUCAUCCACAAUAAUUCUGAGAUAAAAACCUUAUUUCGCCCAUCUCCAUCCCUCAGUUCCCCCAUGAUUUUGUAAUGUAGGUUUGGCAGAUCUACACAUGUAAAUACAGGUUUAAAAAUGGGUUUGGUACCUUACUGUAUUACUCAAACUGUGAGAAUUUUUGGAGGAAAAAAAAAGAUGUUCAAACUUCUAUAGUCAGGGAAGACUAAUUGGAGACUAUUAACGCUAAUGGAAUAAUUGCCUUAAAAUCAUGCUAAUAGCUUCCUGGCUGCUACAUGUUUACUUGGCCAGUUGCUACAGCUUGAAUUAAGUAAUUAUCUCCACCAUUUAAAACCACUUCUGAUGUACCACACAAGGAUUUCUGUAGAAGGGAAGGGCUGCUCAGUCAUCCUCUAAGCUUCAGGUUUUCUUAGGUGGAGCAACUGGAGGGUGAAGAGCUGUCUAAUUAUGAAGCCAUCCUCUUGAGUCAGCUGACCUGCAUUACCCAGAGCUAGUGCAAAGAACCGUCUGCAGGCUCAGCCCUGCCUUAGGCUCCAGACCCAGUCCAACCCUUGGAUAAGGCAAUGUGAAGAGGACCGUUUCAUUUCACCAGUUUUCUUCUUGCAUCUAGAACUCAGCUUCUGAUACAGCUGGAUACUGAAAAAUCAACUGUCAUGGGAGGGGCACACAUGAGCAGCCCAGAGCAAGGAAUGGAACUUCCCACAGGUGGAGAUGUUGGCCAGUUCCAAAUAGUGCAUCAGAUCCAUUUCCCCCUGGACACCUCAAUCCUGAGCCUCCCAACCUCCUGCCCUUGGAUUACUCUCUAGAUUUGAUGUGCAGCUGUCAUCUGAAUUUACGCUUUCUGACCCUGUGUAGAAUUUCCUAUAUCCUGGAUAAUAAGCCCAUAUCUUCCAUGAUAUUCCAUGAUGAUAAUGAUAUUCGGCACUGUUUACACGCAUGGACUCACUGAAUGCUUGUGAGGUAGGUACUAUUAUUAUCUCCAUUUUACAGAUUGAGGAAAUUAAGGUAUAUAACAGUUAACAAUUUUCAUAAUGACACACAGCUAGAAAGUGGAAGAGUCAAUAUUCAAAUCCAGGAUUCUGAUUCCAGGAUCUAUGCCUUGUAUCAUUUUAAUACGCUGGCUCUCAUUCUCAAGAUAUGUCUUAACUACAUAUUAAAGAGCAUUUAGAGGAUGUAUGUCACCUCUAAAUACUUUUUGAAUCCAUGCAUGUCAUAAAAUGUCAUUAUAUUAUGCACAUGAUUGAUUGAUAUAUUAACUAAGUAUAGAAUUUUGUUUUGACUCAGAAUUUUGGAAGUAUUAUCAUUUAGCAUCAAUGUUUCUUUUAAGAAAUAAAAUGCCACUAACUCCAUAUGUAUGACCUGUUUGUAAAUAAUCUCUAUAACCUCUUAGAAACUCCUGUUCAUCUCUUGAGUUUUGAACUCUGAUGAUGAUUUCCCUUCAUUCAUUCAUUUUUUUUGGGUAAUUAGUGGCACUUUCAAUCUAUAAACUUUAUGUUUUGGGGCC